rnacentral:rRNA from 1 species
UAAUACGUAGGGCGCAAGCGUUGUCCGGAAUUAUUGGGCGUAAAGAGCUCGUAGGCGGUCUGUCGCGUCGGAUGUGAAAGCCCGGGGCUUAACCCCGGGUCUGCAUUCGAUACGGGCAGACUAGAGUGUGGUAGGGGAGAUCGGAAUUCCUGGUGUAGCGGUGAAAUGCGCAGAUAUCAGGAGGAACACCGGUGGCGAAGGCGGAUCUCUGGGCCAUUACUGACGCUGAGGAGCGAAAGCGUGGGGAGCGAACAGGAUUAGAUACCCUGGUAGUCCACGCCGUAAACGGUGGGAACUAGGUGUUGGCGACAUUCCACGUCGUCGGUGCCGCAGCUAACGCAUUAAGUUCCCCGCCUGGGGAGUACGGCCGCAAGGCUA